CGCCGCCGUCACGGCUGGGGACAAGGCGGGGAUGGCUGGGGCGAGAGCCCGGUGUGGCGGUGGUUUAAAGGUACACACUGCCUCGGGUGACCCUGCCGGCUCGGGAUGCUGCGGUGCGGGAGCGCCGCCCCUCGGGAUAAAGGUGCUGAGUGACGAUGUCAUUGAGAAGUGCGCAGCAACACGGGCCUGGGCUAUGUAAGAGUGUGACACAGUGGAAAGGGAGACAACUCUAAAUUCCAUCAUCAUUGUUUUACUGUUACAGAAUCACAGAAUCAAUUCGGUUGGAAAAGACUUGAGAUCACUGAGUUCAACCUAUGACUGAACACCACGGCACUAAUGCAUGGCCUUUCUUUAAACACCUUCAGGGACGGUGACUCCACCGCCUUCCUGGGCAGUCCAUUCCAAAGUCUAAUCACCAUUUCUGUGAAACAAUAACAACAAGUUCUGGUGCAGUUUAAGAGUCAGUCCUCGCAUCCUGUCCCUGGCUGUCUGGGAGAAGAGGCCAGCCCCCAGCUGCCUACAACCUUCCUUCAUGUAGAAAGUCUUUCAAAGCAUGCAUAAUUAACACUUUUAUUGUAAAUAGUAUGGGAAACGGUGUUAUUGGAAUUCUCUGUUGCUGACCAGUUUUUGUUUUACUGAAGUCUGUGCAGUAUAGCAGCACACACCUUCAUAGAAUCAGAACCAUAGAACAGCACCAGGUGGAAGGGUGCUGAAAGAUCAUCUGGUCCAACCUUUGGUAGGAAAGGGAACCAUGAUGAGAUAAUCUAACACCUUGUCCAACACCAUCUUGAAAACCUGCAAUAGGAGCUCCCUGAGGAAUGGUUUUUGCAGUGAUUGGUUGUUCUCACUGGGCAAAAGUUCCCUAUAUCAAGACAAAAGCUCUGCUGGUACAACUUAACCCUUGUUUUUUGUCGUCUUGUGAAGAGAGUGCCUCCAUCAUUGUAGCCACUCUGUAAGUACCACAAUACUGUGAUAAGGUCCCCUGAGCUUCUCCAGAAAAAAACAAAGUCCUUCAGUCCUUCUUCAGUGCGUGUUCUUGAGCCUUUGAUCACCUUUAUUGCCUUAGUUUGCAUGCUUUCCAGUUGUCCACAAUUUUUUUUGGAACUGCUGGGAGCAGAAGUGGACACAAUACUCCAGGUGUGGCCUGAAAUGCACCAAGCAGGGUGGGAUGAUCAAGUUUCUGUCCCUGCUAGCAAUGCCCCUGAGGAUGCAACCCAGGAUCUGCUUGCAGCAGUGGGGCACUGCUAAGGGCAGUUCAGCCUGAUGUCCAUGCAGACCCCCAGGCCCUUUUCCACGAGGCUGUUCCUGUGACACACAGCUCUGAGCCUGCACUGGGCUCCGUGGUAUGCUCCAGGACAUGGGGAUGCAACAUGAGGUCACAACUCAGAUCAAUCCUGCUGGACAGAAAUAUUUCUGGUCUUCAGUUCUGACAUCAGUGAAGAGCGUCUGUUCUUCCAGAGCUAUGCUUGUAGGACAUUGAAAGAGAACAUGUGGCAUGGCCCUGCUUUCCUUGCCCCAUGUAUUUUCUCUCUUAAUGAGAAGCUGACCCAUCAUGAUGAUGACUAUUGUUUCUCCAUGAUACUGGUAGACUUUUUCCUAAUUGAGAAAACUGAACGGAAAACAGGCAUAAAAGUGUUAGCUUCAUACACAGCUCAUUCCUACAUUAUAAAUCUCCUUAAGAGUAUAAUGAGAUAAUGUUUUAAUGUUUUUAGGAUACUUGCUUACCCACCACUGAAAUAUUUCAAGAUGCCUUUUAUGAAUGAGGGAGUGCCAGAGGAAAAGGGUUACAAAACCAUGUUUGGAUGAACAAAACUAAUGCAAGAUAUUAAUUUCUUAACUGACUUGGAGAUUUUGCUACAGCAUGAGAGGCUGUUCUCUCAAAAGUAAAAUAACUCAUAGGCUAUAUACUUGUCACAGAUACCCAGCAAAAUGUAAGCAUCUGGGGAACAACCUGAUUUUACAAGUCUCUGGGUUUGAGCAAUUUGGGGAUAGUAUAUUUAUAUGUUUGUGUGUGUGUACAUGUAAAUUUCUUGCCAUAGCAUUGUAAGUUUCUGCCGGUAA